rnacentral:lncRNA from 1 species
CGGGGAGCCGGGAAGUGCACCCCGAGUCGGUUCCGAUCACAUGGGCUGGGUGUGGGGGAGGGGGAGGCGCGGGGAGCUCAGCCCGGGCUGCUCGCCGGGCGGGGAGGCGGCAGCGCCCCGGACCCCCCUAGUUCGCGCUACCCAUUCAAGUUCUCGGGCCCUUGCGCGCGAUCCGGAGGUGGCACCCGCCACCCGCCCUGCCUCUGUGCCCCGGUUUCCAGACACCGCGCGGAAAUUUAGGUCAAGGACGCCGGGAGCACACCCACACCCUGCGCUCCCGGGGCGGUCCCCGAGACCCCGGGAAUCGGGGGGCUGCGGGAUGAAGGAGACCCUCCCACACAAACACCAGCCACAAGUUUUAUUUUCCCUUCGCGCGGCAAGUUCUCUGGCUCCCCCGCUCCACACCCGCACGUCCUGCACGGCUCCCCGCCCUUCCCCGGCAGAGAAUUAGGAGACAAUGGAAUACACUCAACACCAAAACUGCGUCGUGUCCACUGUGGGUUUCGGAACAUUUGGAAAAUCUCAACACCAGCCAAAGCCCUGAGUGAUCAGACUUUCAAUCUCUCUGUCCCAUAGACUGGGAAAAUGCCUCUCUGACAGGAUUGAUGGGGUAGGGUGGAGCAUUUGAAGUGGACAAUGUAAAAAGUCCCCUUUUUAAUUGCAAACUUACAUGAAUCGUGCUUAUAAAUUGUUACUGAAUAUAAUUUCUACAAGGCACUUUAUAAGACUUCAAACCACAAACCAUACCGUUUCCCAGCACUCCAACCAAACUGAUUCUCGAAUAGUCUGGGGACUCACGUGUUAAAGAGCCGAAUGUUAUGGUAGUUGUUUAUUGCAAUUAUUCUCAAUAACAAAAUACAGGCAACACAGCUAAUUGGGUUGGAUUUUGGAUUUUCACAAUGGAACCACAGGCCAUCAGAACUAGAAAGGACUUUCCUUAUCCAGCCCCUUCCUUGAAUAAGGGAGUCCCAAAGGUUCCAGGCUGUCAGGCUGUAUUCCCACCACAACCAGUUAAUCCCUAAGAGGGGCUCUGGCCAAGGUCCAGUGCCCUUUGGCUCUGUC